AUUUUGUUUUUGUAAUUGUUCAUCAUCAUGAGACUUAAGUAUAUAAUUCUGUAUUAAUAAACACUUCAGCCAAUUAAAGAAUAGGUAUCUCUCUAAAGGAAAUCCAGGGGAUGUAUGCAGUUUAGAUUAGGAUAUUUUUCUUCAUUCUUACAAGCAAAUUGAGAAUUGUAAACAACACUUUUUUUAAGAAAAAUCAAAAUACAAUAUUACUAAAGCAAGCCCAUUCUUUUGACUAUUCGACUUUUCCACAAAUUUAAUGUUCUUGUCUAUGUCAUAUGAUAGAGAACAACAGUGAACUUGAUUAAAGCUUGGUUACAAAAUCUGAUACAUGAGACUAAAAUCUUGGUGCCUCAAGGGAGAACUUCACUAAGCCACAGGCUUUGGGAUCUCAUCCCAGGCAAACCAUUCCUUCCUUUGCAGAAAGAGUUUUGAGAUCUUACAGCCUGCAUUCCAGUAAAGUUCUUAAAGCCUUAACUGGCAAAGGCUUUCCUUAAUUCCUUUACAAAGUAUUAGGUGAACAUUAGUCUCUUCUCUCCCUGAUUGACAUGAAGCUAACAAAAGACAACAACAGUGGAGACAGAAACUGGAAUUUAAGAAAGUAAUGGAUAUGUAUCUAUAGUUAUUUCCAUAGAAAAUUCCCAAAACUGGACUGGCUGAACAAAUGUGAGAUCCAGGAAGGACAGCUUUGCCUCAGCUUUGCCUCAGGGGACACAUGGCAUGACACACAUAUGAUACAGCAUACUUUCAUGAAGAGACAGAAGUUGAAGCAGGGCAUGUCUAUGAUGCACUGUGGAGUACUGCACAGAAUUUCUGAAGUCCUGCCUCUCAGCACCUCCUGAUUUCAUGGAGAAGACUCAUACCACUUCAUCUUAGGAGUCUCCCCAUGGGAGGUUUCCAUCUAGGCAUGCCCAAUGAGAAACCAGGUUACCAAAUGUGCACUAUUGGUUACAUAACAGUUUUUCUGAGCAUGUAUUAUAAUCUAUUUCAAUAGUUUCUUCAGGAUAUGGAUCUUUUGCAACAACUGUAUAUACAACUACUGAGGUGGUAUACAUUUCAGGAUUUGACACUAAAAUGCCUGGGAAUAAAAUAGAAGAUGGGACAACUUAGCUUGACUGAAUCAAGUUUUUAUAUAUAAAUAUGUAUUGCAUAAAUGCUGUCAGCACUGAAUAUCUCUGGUCGUGAGACAAAAGCUG